GGGAAUGGGUGGGCCAUGAUGCUGUUUAUUCUUUUAUAGUUAUAAAGCAAAGUGAAUGAUCUAUUCAUUGUCAUGUACAGAUGCUUUAUGUGUGUGUCAUUGCAUUAGAUUGUAAAGCAUUUAGCGAAAUCAGCGCUGUCAGUCUGGUUUCCCAUAUGUCUCAGCAGUUCUGAUGGAUUAAACCCAGUGCAGUCACCAUACAAUAAUCACAAUUUCUGUUUAUUGAAGCAUGGUAUACAAUAAUGGUCGACUACAUGACUUAAGUGAGUGUAAAGAAGCAUUUGCUCAUGCCAGUGUCAGGUGUUUUCUGUGAAUUUUUGCUUUCCAAAAAGAAUGAUACACAUCUUGUAGGCCAAAGCUUCCAGUCCAUCUUGAGUAAAAAGAUGUUUCAAAUCUCUUUUUGCUUAAAAAUGGACUUGCCUUUAUUUCCCUUAUGGAUGAUUGGAAAGGAUGAACAUACAUGAGUCACAGGAUGUACGACACUAUAAACUUGAACAAUUUGCCAUGUUCAUCUUUACACUCUACAGAAUCUGAAUAUUUUUUUAUUGCCUGUCAUCAGUUACACAUGCUGAAAUGAAGAUGCAGGCGGGUGUGAUGUUUCCCAGCAUCACUUUUAUAUUGACUGAAGCUGCUGGUGUAAUUCUAUCAAAGAAUGAGAUGUUUUAGUUACUCUAGUCAUCCGUUCCACCCACAUAAUGCUGCUGUAUUCAUAAUUCAUCAACUCAUUUGUAUGUCUUUUAUAGUAUUCAUAUGAUUCCAAGAUGUGCUUUAAAAUUAGCCUAGCGAGCCUGAGCAUUGCAUUCAGCUCACUUUGAUAAAGUGCUCAGGACCAAUCACAGCUUCUCUUUUAAACUGAUCAGCACGUUUUAUUAAUUAUUCAUUUGUUUGUGAGAAGUGUAUACUGAUACAUUUUCACUGGUAAACAUCUCAGGAGAGUUGAUCUUUCACCUAAAUAAAAGAAAGAUAAGAGUUAAAGGUGUUUCAUAUGUAAGCUUAGGAAACAGUAUUGAACCAUCGCUCCUACAUUCCAGCUGCUCUGUUGACGUGCUUCAUCUGUCUGAUGGCUUGUCUGUCUCUUGAGAGAACAAUGUUUCUUCCUGUAUAUAUUAUUGUUUGCAUGUAAAAACAGGUCAACAUAUUUUCAGCCUAAUUUUAUCUGAACACAUUGAAGCAUGCAGUACACAGUACAGUAGAUUUAUGUUCUGUUAGAUGAAACAUUGAUGCACACAAAACUGGAUUGUUCUUAUCUGAUUGGCUGUCUUUAUGUAACUACCAUGAGUAAUGCCACAUUUGUGUUUUUAUAAAUCUAUGAAAACAAAGUUGUUUUUACAGCAUACCAGGCUGGCACAGAGAGCUAGAAUUAUAUUCUGGAUUUGCUGCUUUUGGCAGAUUAGUAAUCACUUAAAGAUUUGAUAUGAGUUUGAUAUGAGGCAUUAUGUAGACAUUAAACAAGAUACCCACUCACAGAAGUGUACAGUACAUUCUGCUUUGUUUCUUGCUUUCUGAUUUAUGUCUGUGAAAUAAGUAUUUAAAUUUUUUUCUUUUUUUCUGCUCCAUACUGAGUUUCUACACAUUUUCAGCUAUUUGUGUGUCAGUACUGACAUGUAAAGCAUAUAACAGGGAUCCUCAAAUCUGGCCCACGAGAUCCACUUUCCUGAAGAGUUUAGCUCUAACCCUAAUCAAACACUCCUGAGCAUGCUAAUCAGUGUCUUCAGGAUCAUUAGAAAAUCACAGGUAGGUGAGUUUGAUCAGGGUUGGAGCUAAACUCUGUAGCGCAUUGGCCCUCCAGGGCAAGAUUUGAGGAACCCUGAUACAAAACAACAAAAACAAAAAAAGUGAUUGGACACUUUUAGUUGCUCAUCCCGUCUAAGCAUGGGUUUCUUGGUCAGAGUAAGCAACAAUAUAGAUAUGAGCAUUUAGUCAGAAGUCUGGCACCGCAGGACUCAGGGGUUUAAGGUCUGUCCUUGGUUUAGGCCAUUCAUUGAUCUCAGUCUGUAUGGAGGUGAGAGUUAUUUCUGUGUGCAGUGAAGGUUAAAGGUUUAGCUCAGAGAGCAGUGACUUCCCUUCAGGCUUUUCAGACAGGCACUGUAUCAUCACAGGUCAUUAAAGGCUUGCUGAAGAACCGGGGAGCACUAAGGACCACUGCCUUCAGAAGAAGCCAAAUGGCACAACUCCCUAGGUUUCAAUACGCUUUAGACAAACGCUUGCUUUGUCCCACUGGUUUACACUAAGUGGAUAAGAUAUCCGCUCCAGUAGGGCUUUGUUUAGAUAACAGGGCUAAAGGCAAACCUUGGAUAUUUACACUUCUAAGCUGCAGACGGAGGAAGACAUACUGGACUUUACUCAGGCAGCAAAAUGCCUGAAACACUACAAGGUGUUCUCUUUCACACUCUUGAUCUUGCAUCGAUGUCUGUUUUUUUAUUUAGCCAACAUUUUUUAUCUAAAACCAGAUACAAAAGAAAAAUUGGUUACUGUCAGGAUUGCCAGGUCUGGAAACAAAAAAAACCCAAUAGCUAUUCAAAACUAGCCCAAUCACGUUUUUUUCCCCAUGGUUUUCCCCUCCAUCAAAAUUGCAUUCCGGGGAGUGGAGGGAGAUGGAUUUAACCUGCUGACUAAAAAACAACCAGCGGAAAACAACAGCACAAAAGUAGCCUAAUUCCACGGUGUCUGGAGCACAGUGAAAAGAAAAACAUGAGUAAAUUACAUUCUUUUUGUGAAUUGCCCCUGGAGUCAGCAAGAACGCAGGAAGAUGGCAAAUUUACAUCCCCAAAGACAAUUUGUACAUGGAGCAUAACAGCAAAAAUAGGCUCAUAAAUCACAUCAGCUGCGGCCCUGAGUGCAAUCGAUUACCUCACGGCAAAAGGAAUGGGGACAUUAAAGCCUCUGGUCCCUAAACAUCCACAUCAGGAGUCUCUGUAUGGGAUAUAUGAGAGCAGGACCCUCCAGAGAUUAGGAGGAGGAAAGGGGACAUCAGGUCACCGUAGCCACCAGAUCCAGUCUGUAUCCAGGUCAGAUGGUCACUGCAGUCACCCGGAUCCAGUAUGUAUCCAGCCCAGAUGGUGGUCAGCACCUGGGAAGGACCUCUACAGCCCUGAAUGUCAGCGGAGACCAGGACAACUAGAUGAGCCCCAGAUACAGAUCCCCUGUAAAGACCUUGUCUCAGAUGACCACCGGGACAAGACCACAGGAACCAGUUGAGUCCUCUGCACAAUUUGUCUUUGCUGCAGCCUGGAAUUGAACUGCUGGUUUCGUCUGGUCAGAGGAGAACUGGCCCCAGACUGAGCCUGGUUUCUCCCAAGGUUUUUUCUCCAUUCUGUCACCGAUGGAGUUUUGGUUCCUCUGGCUUGCUUAGUUGGGGACACUUCAUUUCCAGUGACAUCGUCGACUUGAUUGCACAGAUACUAUUUAAACUGAACUGAGAUGAUGACAUCACUGAAUUCAAUGAUAAACUGCCUUUAACUGAAAAAUGAGUGUUUACUAUUGUCAUUUUGCAUUAGACACUAUUUUCCUAAUUAAUGCUGUACAGUAAGCUUUGACACAAUCUGUAUUGUUAAAAGCGCUAUACAGGUCCUUCUAAAAAAAUUAGCAUAUUGUGAAAAAGUUCAUUAUUUUCCAUAAUGUAAUGAUAAAAAUUAAACUUUCAUAUAUUUUAGAUUCAUUGCACACCAACUGAAAUAUUUCAGGUCUUUCAUUGUUUUAAUACUGAUGAUUUUGGCAUACAGCUCAUGAAAAC
ensembl:lncRNA